CGUCAGUGGACAGAGUUAACCGGAGAGGAAAAAGGGGACACGAAACCACCGUGGCUGCAAUGGCGUCGCCCGCUCCCGCGACCGCGAAGCCCAUCGCUCUCCGGCGGCCGCCGGUCCCAGUCCGCGGCGGAUUCUGCCCGGCGCGUCCCUCCAUGGCUGCGGCGGCAGGCCGGUUCAGAGUCUCGGCCUCCGCUUCCGCCUCGGACGUGCCCGACUUCCUCUCCUCCGACUGGCUUGAAACACGCAAGAAGAAGCCUUUGGGCCCCAGGUUGAAUUUUAAUGCAGAAGAAGCAGUGGAGUACCAGCUUGAGGCCUUGAAAUACAAUGACAAACCCCGCCCGGAUUAUGGGGUAGAGGUCAUGUACCGGUUUGCAGGCUUUGAUCCAUUUGAAAGGUCAACUUAUUUUGGACGACAGUUUGAUCUUGGGCAGUUCGAGCGUUUCCGGCGGAUAUUUCACCAUUCGACUUACAGAGUGCUGCUUGGCCACAAAGAAAGAGAGAUAUUAAGCAGAUUAUGGGUUGAAGAGAACCGGUUUAAGCAGAGAGUCUGGGUCCGAGGAGCUCGCCCGGAGGAAGAAGAGAUAUUCCAGUUCACAAUGGUUCAGAGAGUUGGCGGCUCAUGGGAUGGUUACUGGCUAACCGAGAGCUUGACCAACGACGACGGGGACGCAUUCUCAGGCGGGGUUGCUUAUUGACAGCAUUGACCAAUCAAUUAGAAGAAGAAGGCGGUCCCGCUGCGCAAGCGCCUGAGUCAUCUUGGAUGCUGCUUCAUCCGAUUAUUCCAGAUUUCCAGUCAGUCAGCGCGUGUUGCGGCGAGACCUGCUGAGACUAAAAAACACCAUGGGAGAAGACGACAUGGACCGCAAGGGAACCAUACAUGUCCUGACAUGCCCGUUUCACUCUCACCUUUGGUUGCUGAGCAGAGCAGAGCACAACACAAGGCGCUGUCUCUGUCGGAAGAAGCCAUGGUUAAUCACCAAACCUCACCAGACGCUUUCCUUUUUACUCUAAGAGCAUCUAUAGUGGGGCGCCCUCAAAUCCUCCUCAAAUUAGUGACCGGUCAAAAAAUACGACUUAGAGGGCUCGUUAGAUGGCCCUCAAAUGUCCGGGCUGAUCGGCAGCCCUCAUAUCCAGCCCAAAUCUGAGACGGAUAUAGGAAGGCCCGGGCGUGUCCGCCGUGUCGGACUGACGGUCAGGUCCCAUAGGAAACAGUCCGAAGCUCGAAUCCUCUGACAGACUGAUGACGUCGUGUGUCGGUGCUCCGGCGCGCCGUGCAAGGCCCCUAGCCCGGCUAUUUAAGUCGGACAUUGGCAUC
rnacentral:rRNA from 1 species